rnacentral:misc_RNA from 1 species
GAUGAAGAACGUAGUGAAAUGCGAUACGUAGUGUGAAUUGCAGAAUUCAGUGAAUCAUCGAAUCUUUGAACGCACAUUGCACCUCUCGGUAUUCCGGGAGGUAUGCCUGUUCGAGCGUCAUUUGUACCCUCAAGCUCUGCUUGGUGUUGGGUGUUUGUUCCGCCUCUGUGUGUGAACUCGCCUCAAAACAAUUGGCAGCCGGCGUACUUGUUUCGGAGCGCAGCACAUUUUGCGAUCCAGAUCAACGUACAGCGGCAUCCAAGAAGCCUUAUUUAACGCUCUUGACCUCGGAUCAGGUAGGGAUACCCGCUGAAAUUAAGCAUAUCAAUAAGCGGAGGA